GUACUUACUUCAGCAGCACAUAUAUUAAAGUUGAAGAGAAGAUUCGCAUGGCCCUGUGCAAGGAUGACACGUAAAAAUUAAUUUGAAUAGCCAUUUAU
ensembl:snRNA U6 U6 spliceosomal RNA